rnacentral:rRNA from 1 species
GAUGAACGCUGGCGGCGUGCCUAAUACAUGCAAGUCGAGCGAACAGACGAGGAGCUUGCUCCUCUGACGUUAGCGGCGGACGGGUGAGUAACACGUGGAUAACCUACCUAUAAGACUGGGAUAACUUCGGGAAACCGGAGCUAAUACCGGAUAAUAUAUUGAACCGCAUGGUUCAAUAGUGAAAGACGGUUUUGCUGUCACUUAUAGAUGGAUCCGCGCCGCAUUAGCUAGUUGGUAAGGUAACGGCUUACCAAGGCAACGAUGCGUAGCCGACCUGAGAGGGUGAUCGGCCAAACUGGAACUGAGACACGGUCCAGACUCAUACGGGAGGCAGCAGUAGGGAAUCUUCCGCAAUGGGCGAAAGCCUGACGGAGCAACGCCGCGUGAGUGAUGAAGGUCUUCGGAUCGUAAAACUCUGUUAUUAGGGAAGAACAAAUGUGUAAGUAACUAUGCACGUCUUGACGGUACCUAAUCAGAAAGCCACGGCUAACUACGUG